rnacentral:snRNA from 1 species
AUCGCUUCUCGGCCUUUUGGCUAAGAUCAAGUGUAAAGAUGACUAAAUUAAACUUCAUAAUAUUGAUGUUGACAGUCAUGUAAUUUGAAAUGAUGUUUCAGGAUACAAUAAUGCAAUGUUUCAGUGUGCUUAAAAUAGUCU